AUCUACUUUAUUAAUUUUAGAACCUAAUAACAUUAAAGAUUAAAGAGUAAAGACAUUAACAAAUUCAAAACACAAUCUGAUGCACCUUUCUCUUCCAAACCCAUCUCUCAAUCGCAUGUACCUUUAGAAACCCAUCUAUCAUUGCCUGCAAGAGUGCAAUCUCGUCGGAAACUUCUGGUCGUAAAAACAUGAUUCCUUCAUUUCUCUACAGUUCUUCACCUAAAACCCUAUCGAUUAUUCAUUAGAUCAUCAACUCCGGCCCCACUCCUUCUGCCGCAACGCUGUCUUCAUUGACCGGAACUAGAUAUAUCAGUUGCGUUUCGAAACUUCUCCUAAGGAAUCCGGUAAAAUCGAGAUUUACUUUGGAUUUAUCAUAGCUCAUGUUGCUGCUAGGGGAAUUGGUGCUGACAUAAAUUUCAAUCUGAAUGAUUUUGAGGAUGAUCUUAAACAGAGAGCUUCUGAUUGUGUUUUUGUCUCCGACUGGGACAUCUACUGCCGCUUCAAAUUCAAGGAAAGUUGCUAAUGGUUCUGCUUCGACGGUUUCAACGAAUUACUCAAAGAUUUUUACUUUGGGUUUUGGUUCUCGAGGUGGUCUUUACUCUUUUUUUGUGUGAUUUCGCAGACCGUGUAUAAAGGCAGAAAGAAGAAGACAAUUGAGUAUUUCGCGAUUAAAAGUGUCGGUAAAUCUCAGAAAAACAAGGUUCUUCCAGAAGUGAGUUAUUAUUAUUCCUGUUAGUUAAUUAUUAAUAGCAUUCAUGUAAUUUCUUUAGUUUUCUAUCAGAUGUUAAGUUGUAUUGUGUUGUUGAUUGCAAAAACUCGCGAAUUACGCUUUUUAUUCUUCUGCAAGUUAGGAUUCUUCACACUUUGGAUCACCAAAAUUUGCUCAAUUUUUAUUCAUGCUAGAGUGAUGGUUCCUAGGAAUCAUAUGCACUAUGUGGAAAACGGUAACUCUUCAUUGCAUCACAAAGGUAUGAGCAUGUAGAAAGCUAGCAUGGGGUGAAACAGGAUGAGAGUCUCAAUAAUUCAAACUGUGGUGAAGUCGUGCAGACUGCCUCAACUCCUACAACUGCCAAUUACUCUCUAGAAAAAGUAGAAACAUGAUUUGAUUUUUAUCCUUGUUUAUAAUGAUUGGUUUGUAUGAAAUUUGUGCAGAGAAAGAGUGUUUGUGCCGACUGUCGCACUUGAGUUAGAUUUUUUCUGUGCAACUGGAGUCACUUUUGAGAACACAGUGGUUGCAUCAGCAGGUGGCAAAGGAAUGCAGGUUGCUGAAGGUUUAGAUGAUUUGAAGAUAGUACUGCUUAUUGAGUUCAUAGUUUUUACCUCUGUCUUAUAUAUGUUGGUCCAUUGUUGAUUCAUAGUUUUAUUGAGUUCACAUCAAGGAAAGAUAGUACUACUGGUGAAGGUAUUGUUUUGAUAUUGAUCCUUUUUGUAGCAAAAUCAACUGAAGUGCUUAGUGCCCAUCAAUACAACUUCCAAUUUCAGAAACUCGGUAUGCUUAUUCGCUCAAGCAUAAUCACUUCGGUUUACAAAAAGGGUUUAAGAUUGUCGAGUUCUUCAAGACAAACUCAUGGAACAGGACAGAUUGUGAAUCAUAUGGCUGUUGAUGCUCAACAACUCUAUAUGAUGAUGCAGUUACAUCCUAUAUGGUUGAUGCCAUUGCAAGUUACUGCUGCACUGGUUCUUAUAUAUAGCUAUAUUGGUGUAUCUACUGUUGCAGCAUUUCUUGGAUCUGCGGUAGUAUUUUUCUUCACGACAUAUUAAACUAAGAGUAGUAAUGGUUUCUAGUUUCAGAUAAUGACGAGCCGCGAUUUGAGACUGAAGGCAACAAAUAAAUUGCUUAACAAUAUGCGUGUGAUUAAGAUUCAAGCGUGGGAAGAGUAUUUUGGUAACAAAAUUCGACAAUUUCGUGAAGCAGAGCAUGGAUGGAUUGUGAAAUUCUUGUACUGCUGUUAACUAUGGAGUAUUGUAUGCGGUUGUAGGAACUGUUGGUUGAGGCAAGUCUUCAUU